UACGUAGGGGGCGAGCGUUGUCCGGAAUCAUUGGGCGUAAAGAGCGUGUAGGCGGCUUGGCAAGUCUGACGUGAAAGCCCGCGGCUCAACCGCGGAUUGUCGUUGGAAACUGCCUCGCUAGAGUCCGGAAGAGGAGAGCGGAAUUCCUGGUGUAGCGGUGGAAUGCGCAGAUAUCAGGAAGAACACCCGUGGCGAAGGCGGCUCUCUGGGAUGGUACUGACGCUGAGACGCGAAAGCGUGGGGAGCGAACAGG
rnacentral:rRNA from 1 species